GGUUAUGUCUCCUCACCGCUAUCAACGGAGACACUCGACCAUGCCGUGGGUGGGACAGGACCCCUAACCUUAGACGCCAGUCGUCAUUGGUGUGGUGUGAGGGCGGGUUGGAUGCCC
rnacentral:ncRNA from 1 species